CCAAAAUCUUCUUUCUCUUUUCUUUAGGGAGGUUCAUCAAUGCUUUAGAUCGAAGUCCAUCAAUAGCUUUUGUAUCCAUCAAUAGCUUUAGUACUUGCAAAUUUAUGGUUUGCAACUUGUUUCUGCAAUGGGUGUUGUUUAUGAAAUAAAAAUUUUCAUCUCUGUUCAAAAUUACAUUUAACAGCUUUAAAUUAUUAAUUUUUAUUGCAGACUUGAAGUCAUAUCUACCUAGGCUUGACCAUCA
rnacentral:misc_RNA from 1 species